UACAGAGGUCUCAAGCGUUGUUCGGAUUCAUUGGGCGUAAAGGGUGCGUAGGCGGCGUGGUAAGUCGGGUGUGAAAUCUCGGAGCUUAACUCCGAAACUGCAUUCGAUACUGCCGUGCUUGAGGACUGGAGAGGAGACUGGAAUUUACGGUGUAGCGGUGAAAUGCGUAGAUAUCAGGAGGAACACCUGUGGUGUAGACAGCUUACUGGACCAUUUCUGACGCUGAGACACGAAAGCGUGGGUAGCAAACAGG
rnacentral:rRNA from 1 species